GCGUACUUGCAUCCUUCAAAUCAGUGCUGAAUUGGAAGGCAACCCUGGACCAGCUGGUGCAGCAGCUAUCCUGCUGGAUGAAAAUAGGACUCGGCUUUUUCGAUUCCGCGAGGGACUGGGAGAUGAUCUAAUGGGAGAUGAUCUAACCUAUCAUGCUGCUCACUAUCGCGCAUAAAUUCUAGGACUGAAUCAAGCUAAAAUGAAAGGAUAUAAUAGCAUCAUUGUUGAAUCAAACUUGCAAACUCUUAUCAAUCAGGGUUCUGAGCCAGUUGAGCAGUAUUCAAGGGAUUUAUGGGUGGAGGCUUCAAGGUUGAAGGAAACUUUCUGCUCAUUCAACAUCCGAAGAAUUAUUGGGGUCGAAAACGAAGUAGCGGAUGAAGAAGCAGAGAAGGCUGCCCGUCUUUGGGGUUAGAACUUUGAAACUGCAUUUACUUGUAACCAAAGAUACUUCUUUGAUUAUUUUU